GGGGAUGUAAAGGUUUCGACGGGGAUUUCAAACCUUGGUAAGCGAGCGGCGGUGCGGAACCGCCAUAAAAUCCGCAACUUUAAAAUUAACUGACAACAAAACAGUUGCUUUAGCAGCCUAAGUGCUGCUCGUUCCUGCACAGAGUACCUCGGCUGUGUAAGGGGCGUCGAUUAGAGGUAAAUGUGAACAGGGGAGUGCUCCGAACCCUGUCACAGCUUAGGAGCUGCCAAAGUGCAUAGCCUGUUGAUGGGCGAUGCACCGAGGGAGAUUUAAAACACCAACUGCGCUCGGAGAAACCCUUGGCAAGAUUUUUUCGGACAGGGGUUCGAUUCCCCUCAUCUCCACCA
rnacentral:tmRNA from 1 species